AGGCUUUGAUCCUGGCUCAGGAUGAACGCUGGCGGCGUGCCUAACACAUGCAAGUCGAACGGGAAUCUUCGGAUUCUAGUGGCGGACGGGUGAGUAACGCGUAAGAAUCUAACUUCAGGACGGGGACAACAGUUGGAAACGACUGCUAAUACCCGAUGUGCCGCAAGGUGAAACUUAUCUGGCCUGAAGAAGAGCUUGCGUCUGAUUAGCUAGUUGGUGGGGUAAGAGCCUACCAAGGCGACGAUCAGUAGCUGGUCUGAGAGGAUGAGCAGCCACACUGGGACUGAGACACGGCCCAGACUCCUACGGGAGGCAGCAGUGGGGAAUUUUCCGCAAUGGGCGAAAGCCUGACGGAGCAACGCCGCGUGAGGGAGGAAGGUCUUUGGAUUGUAAACCUCUUUUCUCAAGGAAGAAGUUCUGACGGUACUUGAGGAAUCAGCCUCGGCUAACUCCGUGC
rnacentral:rRNA from 1 species